rnacentral:rRNA from 1 species
GAGGGAAAUUAGUACCGAAGUCCGGGAUGGAAGAUGGCGAGAAAAGCUGUGUGUAUUUCUGCGGUGCCCGUACCGCAAACCGACACAGGUAGGUAGGAAGAAGAUUCUAAGGCCAACGGGAGAAGGGUUGUUAAGGAACUCGGCAAAUUGACCCCGUAACUUCGGGGGAAGGGGUGCUCUAGAGAUAGAGCCGCAGAGAAUCGGCCCAAGCAACUGUUUACCAAAAACACAGGUUUGUGCUAAAUCGAAAGAUGACGUAUACGAGCUGACGCCUGCCCGGUGCUGGAAGGUUAAGAGGAGAUGUGCAAGCAUUGAAUCGAAGCCCCAGUGAACGGCGGCCGUAACAAUAACGGUCCUAAGGUAGCGAAAUUCCUUGUCAGGUAAGUUCUGACCCGCAUGAAAGGCGUAAUGAUUUGGGCACUGUCUCGACAGCCCGCCCGGCGAAAUUGUAGUACCGGUGAAGAUGCCGGUUACCCGCGACAAGACGGAAAGACCCCAUGGAGCUUUACUGUAGCCUAAUAUUGGGUUUCGAUGUUGCAUGCACAGGAUAGAUGGGACACUGGGAAGCAAGUGCUUUGGCAUUUGUGGAGUGGCCGUUGGGAUACCAUCCUUGCGAUAUUGGAAUUCUAACCUGCGCCUUCGAAUCAAGGCGGGGGACAUUGUUAGGUGGGCAGUUUGACUGGGGCGGUCGCCUCCUAAAGAGUAACGGAGGCGUUCAAAGGUUCGCUCAGCUUGAACGGAAAUCAAGCAAAAGAGUGCAAACGCAGAAGCGAGCCUAACUGCGAGACUGACGGGUCGAGCAGUAACGAAAGUUGGAGUUAGUGUUCCGGUGGUAUGUGAGUGGAAAUGCCAUCGCUCAACGGAUAAAAGUUACCCUGGGAUAACAGGCUGAUCUCCCCCAAGAGUCCACAUCGACGGGGAGGUUUGGCACUUCGAUGUCGGCUCAUCGCAUCCUGGGGCUGUAUUCGGUCCCAAGGGUUUGGCUGUUCGCCAAUUAAAGCGGUACGCGAGCUGGGUUCAGAACGUCGUGAGACAGUUCGGUCCCUAUCUGUCGUGGGCGCAGGAUAUUUGAUGGGAGCUGUUCCUAGUACGAGAGGACCGGAGCGGACGUACCUCUGGCGCACCAGUUGUUCUGCCAAGGGCAUAGCUGGGCAACUAUGUACGGAUCGGAUAAACGCUGAAAGCAUCUAAGCGUGAAGCCGCCCCA